GACGAACGCUGGCGGCGUGCUUAACACAUGCAAGUCGAACGGAAAGGCCCUGCUUUUGUGGGGUGCUCGAGUGGCGAACGGGUGAGUAACACGUGAGUAACCUGCCCUUGACUUUGGGAUAACUUCAGGAAACUGGGGCUAAUACCGGAUAGGAGCUCCUGCUGCAUGGUGGGGGUUGGAAAGUUUCGGCGGUUGGGGAUGGACUCGCGGCUUAUCAGCUUGUUGGUGGGGUAGUGGCUUACCAAGGCUUUGACGGGUAGCCGGCCUGAGAGGGUGACCGGCCACCCUGGGACUGAGACACGGCCCAGACUCCUACGGGAGGCAGCAGUGGGGAAUGUUGGACAAUGGGCGCAAGCCUGAUCCAGCAAGGCCGCGUGUAGUAAGAAGGCCUUCGGGUUGUAAACUGCUUUUGUACGGAACGAAACGGUUCUGGUUAAUACCCGGGGCUAAUGACGGUACCGUAAGAAUAAGCACCGGCUAACUACGUG
rnacentral:rRNA from 1 species